CUACGGGGCGCUGCAGUGGGGAAUAUUGCACAAUGGGCGAAAGCCUGAUGCAGCAACGCCGCGUGAGGGACGACGGCCUUCGGGUUGUAAACCUCUUUUAGCAGGGAAGAAGCGAAAGUGACGGUACCUGCAGAAAAAGCACCGGCUAACUACGUGCCAGCAGCCGCGGUAAUACGUAGGGUGCAAGCGUUGUCCGGAAUUAUUGGGCGUAAAGAGCUCGUAGGCGGUUUGUCGCGUCUGCUGUGAAAAUCCGAGGCUCAACCUCGGACCUGCAGUGGGUACGGGCAAACUAGAGUGCGGUAGGGGAGAUUGGAAUUCCUGGUGUAGCGGUGGAAUGCGCAGAUAUCAGGAGGAACACCAAUGGCGAAGGCAGAUCUCUGGGCCGUAACUGACGCUGAGGAGCGAAAGCGUGGGGAGCGAACAGGAUUAGAUACCCUGGUAGUC
rnacentral:rRNA from 1 species